UACGUAGGGGGCAAGCGUUGUCCGGAAUCAUUGGGCGUAAAGCGCGUGUAGGCGGCUAGGUAAGUCUGCUCUGAAAGCCCGGGGCUCAACCCGGUCGGAGGCGGGCGGAUACUGUCGGGCUAGAGUCCGGAAGAGGCAAGUGGAAUUCCUGGUGUAGCGGUGAAAUGCGCAGAUAUCAGGAGGAACACCGAUGGCGAAGGCGGUCUCUGGGCAUGAUCUGACGCUGAGGAGCGAAAGUGUGGGGAGCGAACAGG
rnacentral:rRNA from 1 species